GAUAACAAAAGGCGAUGUGAUUAAUUAUUUAUGUGUGAUGUGUUGAGAAAAGUUUGAUGGCUUGUUGAAUCAUUGUUGAUGUGAUUUCAUGUUUGUGUGGUUGUGAACUGUGCAAUGUUAUGAAAAUGGUCAUCUCCUCAUUAUUUGUGUGGACAUGUCAUUGCAUUAUUCUGAGACAUGGUUGUGAAAGUGUUAUGUGCAUUGAGAAAGAAUGAUAACUUAAAGAGGAUGUACCAUUUCGAGGGACGUAUCGCGCGCCGCGAUGGAUACUAUAUUUCGAGGGACGUAUCGCGCGCCGCGAUGGAUACUAUAUUUCGAGGGACGUAUCGCACGCCGUGAUGGUUACUGUUAUCGAGGGUCGUGUCGUGCGCCGCGACAGAUGCAUGGACAGAUAUGUCCUCCAUGGGUCCCGGACUGAGAGACAGCGGGUGUGUAUCACUAGGUCAGACAUGCAUCAUUAUACUUGACAUUGCAUUCCAUUACAUUGCACAUACUUAUCAUUAGUGAACUUGAUAUUGUGUUUUGCUGAUCUAGUGAUUGCCUUUUUGCGGAACUUGUGAUUGUUGAAUACUGAGCUUGUUAUUGAGGAUAUAUAAUUUGUUAAAGUGUUGUUGUGGAGGAUAUGUAAUUUGUUAAAGUGUUGUUGUGGAGGAUAUGUAAUUUGUCUAUAUGUUUUUGUUGAGUUACGUUCUAUGUAAACUGUGAGUUGUUAGGUUGGGUUGAUGUUUAUGCAGGUUGUAGUUGUGGAGGUUCGGUUGGGGGUGGUAGGAGUACCCGUAUAUCAUCCCCUUAGCUUGUGUUUAGAGGUUUACUUGCUGAGUACCGUGUAGUUUGGUACUCACCCCUUGCUUCUACAAAUUUUUGUAGGUUACUAGCCCAAACUUUUAUGAUAUAUUCUCUUCUUUUCCGAGGCUUCCUGGAGAUUUUGUGAGGUAGUUGUUGGUCGUCUCAGCAUCCCUCCUUACUCUUGUUUAUGAUUUUGUUCUACUCUAGAAACAAUAUCAUAUGAGACUUAUAUUUUCUUUUGAUCCGAUUGUAAUACUUUAGAGGCUUGUACACGUGACAACCAGGUUUUGGGGUAUAAUGUAAGUUGAUAGUAAAUUUUCCGCAUUUUUAUUGUAAUAGUUGAGUUUUAGGCUUACUUGUCUUGGUGGGAUAAGACGAGUGCCAUCACGUCCAUUUUUGGGUCGUGACAAAAUGGUAUCAGAGCCCCAGGUUCAUAGGUCUCACGUGUGUACAAGUCGAGUCUAAAUAGAGUCUUGAUGAUCGGUACGGAGACGUCUGUACCUAUCUUCGAGAGAUUAUAGUGACUUUUAGGAAAUAUCUUCAAUUCUUGGAUCUCUCUUGUGCGUACUUGGUCCCAUUUGAUUCUUAUUGCUUCACUCCAUUCGCUCUCGUUUACGUGAUGACUCGUGUGUAGUUCCUUUUGUGAAUCAGUGGCAUGUCGUGUAUUGGUUUGAUGUUAGAUCUCAUAUUAAUGUGGAAAUGAUAUACUUAUGAAACGAAUGCGUGAUCAUUUUUAAAAGAGUUGAGUAAGAUUAGUUAUCAUUGUAAAAUAAUAAUAAUAAAUAUAGUACUUAUCUGGUCUAAGCAAAAUAUGGAGUGGUUCGACAAUUAGAAGUUAAAUGUUUGAAGAAUUAACUAGAUAAUAAAUAGUGUAACCUUGAAAAAUACAAUUGAUAUAGUUGUCAUACCAUUAAUGAGUUGCUUAGCAAAUGAUGUUGCACCAAUUCAGGUCAGAAUCCCUUAUGUGGUUUCACAGAUUGAGUGCAUACCAAAGAAGGUCAUGAUACGACUAUUACAAUGGUAUUGAUGGGUACUUGGUUAGAAUUAUGGAGUGUGUUACUUUUGAUAUUGACCUUGCUUACGAAAGGAUACAUAUAGCUUGGGUUAGAUACAAAACUAAUCUGGUAAUAUUUUACAGCUAUUUGAUGGAUAAAGUGUGUGACUUAUUUGGAAAUGAUCUUCUCGAUAGAUAUGAUAUGUUCUAGUGGUGGAUGUAAUGAAUUUUCACGAUGUGUUACUAGUGGUACAUGAAAAUGGACAUGUUGAUUGUUAAGUGAAAAUACUAACUACUUUAGGAGUUAUCUAUUGUAUUACAUGCUCAUAUGAUAAGAUUUGGUGUUGAAUUCACAUUAGAGAUACCAACUAGCUUGUUAGUACGAGUGGAUGUGUUAAGCAUUAUUUAUAAGGAAGCUUUUAGUGGUGGAUCCUUGGUAUGAUAUUAAUAUGUUCAGGUUGUAAAAUGUAUUUUGUGGAUUGUAAAUGAGUGUUGAUUUCAUCUUAAAUUUCGUGGAAGUGGAAAUAUGGAUGAUAAACUUACAAGUAAAGGAAAUCUCAAAAAGUAUACUUGUGUGAAUGUAAUUGAGAAUUUUAGUAAGAAAGUGCAUAUAAAUUGAGUAAUUACCUUGGAUGGUUGGCAUAGCUAGGUUUGUAUUGUCAUGUUAAUGGCGAGGCUAAAUUCGUAGUGAGGGAAAUCACGAACUAAGCAUGAUGAUUAUAAGAUUUUAUGACGCAUUACGAUUGAAAUGCAACUAUAUGAUACGGGUGUUGGUUAAAAUAAUUUUUUUAUGGUAAUGAUGAAUUUUGAGUAUCUAAGGUUAUGGUUGUUUCUAUUUCAUAAGUAGUGUGGUUUUAUGGUAAUUUUUAUAAGGAGUUGGGAUGUGAUCGAAUAAAAUUGAAAGGAGCUAGAGCCAUAAUGGAAAGAAUUAGUGGUAAAUAGUUUAACUUUCAGAGCGAGGAUAAAACUAGGCUAUUUUACUUUGUUUGCAAGGGUUGAGGAUGUAUCUUCAGAGGAAUUUGGAGAAUUGGGUUCAGAGACAAGUGGUUUUACCUGUUUCUUCCAGAUUAUGAUAUAAUAUAGUGUCACAAGAUCAAUAGAUUGAUUAAAAAAAAAUAACCUAUUGGAAAAAAUUUGAGAAAGGAGUGUACAGACGUUCAAUUCGAGUAUGAUGAUUAUUUCUUUUUUUGGUUUUGAUUUUGUAAGGAGUACGAUAAGAUUUUUAAAAAAAAGAUAUGGUAGGGUCAAUGAAGAGGCGAUCAACAAUAAGCUAAAAUACGUUAAGUAAUUUUUUUUUUGUAUGAGCUAAUGUUGUAAGAUAAUGGGAUUGUGUUACAUGGUUGGGAUCAAAACUUCAAGUUUACAUGGCGAGUUUAGAUUUGUGAUAGUGUAUCUUGUCAAGGUAUGAAUUGGUAAGGUAAGAAAUAAUCGAUCACAUUGAGUAUGAAGCAUUUAGAAGGACUUAAAAUUUGAGUAGUACAUUUGGUUACUUUUGAUUGUUAUACCUAAGGUUUCCCAUAUUGUUGGCCAAAAAAAUAUAUAUAUAUAAGACUGGUAAGUGAGUUAGCAAAAAGGAGAAAAAUUAUGGUGUAUUGAAGAGUUAAAAUUAUUUGAAAUUUCCGUCGUGGAAAGAUUUUAAGAAAGGCAAAGGAACAAUAAGACCUCUCGUACAAACAUUGGAUUCGGAGGUGAUGGUUGUAGUGAUUUCGCCUUUGAGUUUAGAUAUGACUAUGAGAUGUGAACUAGUUCGGCACCUACUUACUAUGGGUGUAUUAUUAACUUUUCUAAAUAUUAAGUUUUGAUUGGGUUACAAUAAAUGACGUAUGGAAGAUUAUAUAUGGUUAUGUCGAGCUAGAUUGUUCAGAAUGUGAUUAAGUAAUAAAUGGAUGUUAAAUAGUGUGGACCUACAAUUUUACAUGAUUAAUGAGGAUUGGAGGGGAUUAAAAUUAUUUUGUUGACGAGACAAAAUAGAUUGUUAUAAUGUGUUACGUAGACAUUUUAUGGUGAGUAGAGGUUAUGAGAUUAUAGUAUACAUUAAUAUUGGAAUGAUCAAGGGUUCUUUGAGUUAUCACAUGAGGUAAAUGAUAGUACAGAUGGUGGUUGAAAAUGGUAUGUGAAAGUUUAGGUGAAGUUGACAUUAAGUGUUUCUUUUUUAAUUUUACCCUAAAGGAGAAAUAUAGAUUUGAAAUUAGUGUUAUCGGUCUUGGGUGUGACUUAUAUCUAUCACGGGAUGCUUAAAUGGAAAGAUAAGAAACCAUAGUUCAAAGUCUUGGAGACUACAAUGUACUUGCUAAGGAGAAUGUAAUACUACUGACGGUGUGAAAGUAAGGUAAGUGGUUGGUAUGGUUAUGAUAUUUGUUAAUAUUAAUAGUGUUGGCUUUGAUGGAGUACUGUGAGAAGUAUGCGGGGUUUGGCAAAUCCAGCAUGUGUAAAAUUGUAAUAGAGAUCAGCUGGUUGAUUUUGGGUAAAAAAAAAUUAAAUAAAAAAAAUAAAUAAAUUGAGGGAUAUAGUUAGAUGAAUGAAAAUAUUGAUAUGGGAUUAUGGAGAAAGUAUCUAGUGUUAUUCGACCUUGAUUCCGUAUAAUCUUAAGUUGACCACCUACUUCGUUUCGGACAUGAUUUGGAGUAUGAUUCACUGCAUAUGCCCACAUUUUUUUACAUCUAUGGGUGAAUUCCUAGUGGUGGAUCGGAUGUGCCGAUCCUCUUAUAUUCUCUUGAUAGGGUAUGUUCUUUAGGCAGACUAGGUCACUUCAGUUAUGACAUAUUUGAUGUUGUUUGAAAAAUUAGAAAUAUAUCACUAUUUUUAUAUGCACAACCUUGCUUAUGGGAACUUACAAAAGAGCUUUCAUGAAUAGUUAUGGUUAUCCGACAGUGUUGUAAAAGGUUCUGCAUCCUAGCGUGUACCAUUUGUUGGGUGCUUACUUGAUCUGUUCUUCAUUGGAUUAGAUAUGUUUGAUUAUCCCUUGAUGAGUAUUCGAUGUCUAAAGAUCAAAUUUUCAUAGUUUAAGCUCAUGGAAAGAUUAGGUUAUGACAAGGGAAUCUUGAUAAGGUCUAUGAUGAUUUGUGUAAUAGGUGUAUGUGAUCGUUGAUCUAGGUUCACUUCAGAUUGUAGUGGGUAUGAAUUCAGAACGUUAUCUUUGUUAUGUAAGAAAAGAUUUGUUGUGAUGAUUGUGUUAUGUUCCAGUAGGUUUCAGUUGAGAUUGGGUUCAUUGGUUGGUUUAUGGCGUGAUAUGUAAAUCUUCCGAAGUUUCGUUCAAAACAUCAGUUCUUGGUAGUUGAUAUUUAAUGGAACGUGCUAAAGAUGAAUUGAUCACUUGGAGAGAUGAACACGACUUUGAAAAUCAUACCUCAAGUUUUUGGUCGUGUUAGUUAUUCUUCCUUCUCCUACUUUAUGUUCGAGGACGAACAUGAUUUUUAGUGGUGGAUAAUGUAAUGAUCCUCUUAGUCGUUUUAGAAAUUUUAACCAGCAUUAUUAUAUUAACCUUUUUAGUAGAUUUUGUAAAUAAUUUAUAUGACUUAUAAGAAUGAGUGACAUAAUUUUUAGAUUUAAUAAAGACUUAUUUUACUGCUAAGAAUAAUGAAAAAGGAAAAAAAAAGAAAAUCAAAUAAUAUAAUAAAAUAAAAUAAAAUAAUUACAAAAGGGGGCAAAGUGCCCUAAACUUAUAAAGCCUGUGACGGCUAUAUGAGUAAAAAAAAAAGAACGAUGUGAAAAAAGAACAGAGAAGAAAAGAAAAGAAAGGGAGAAAAGAAAAGGAAAAAGGAGGAGAAAAAUCAAUAUUUUCAUCUCAAGGCGUCAAGGUAAUUAUUUUCAUCCUUUCUAUUAAGUUUUUAUGCAAUUAGAAGUAGAUUUUUAGAUUAAAACGUGUAUAAUUUACACUAAUAUAUGAAACUAAUUUUUAAUUUUGUGUACAUGUAUGCAUAUGUUAUUUAGCAUAAAUUUCACCUUAGUCAUUAAGUAAUUAUGACCAAUUGUCGAUGAUGAUAAAACAAUUAUUGGGAAGAGAGGUAAAUAGACAUGCAAGAAGCUUUCCGUAUAAAAGUAUUUCAUGAAAUAUCUUUAUUUUGGUGUUCAAAUACGGGUGAUAUAAAUUGGGAUCAAUUUGAGAUCCUUUUAAUAGUUUCCAUAUUAUCAUUUAAGUUUUGAUAUAUUAAUUUAUAUAAUUAAGUAUUAGGUAUAUGGUAUUAAGUGAAUGUCUUAAGAUUUAUGAUAUUGAAAAGAAAUUAAAAAUUUAAUCCUAAUCUUGAAACUUAAGAACGUAAUUAUAAAUUUGCGUGAGUUUUUUUUUGGUUUAGUCUAGACACGUGCAAUAUGUGUGUUGUUAACUUCGAAACCUUAUAGUGUUUAAUUAUUUGAAUAGACUAGAUUUUAUUUGGAAGUGCAACAAAGGAGGAAGGCUAAAGUCCCGAAGUGAUUGUUCGAUAAAUUGAGGCAAGUGGAUUUCUAAACUCUUGUUAAGUGUAUGGAAUGCGUGUAUUUCCUUGUGAUAUAUGUUUGGGAGUAACGGGAUUGGUGAUGGGUUGACUUGUCCACAUUGAUUAAUUCUAAUGAUGAAAUAAAAGGGAUAACAAAAGGCGAUGUGAUUAAUUAUUUAUGUGUGAUGUGUUGAGAAAAGUUUGAUGGCUUGUUGAAUCAUUGUUGAUGUGAUUUCAUGUUUGUGUGGUUGUGAACUGUGCAAUGUUAUGAAAAUGGUCAUCUCCUCAUUUUUUGUGUGGACAUGUCAUUGCAUUAUUCUGAGACAUGGUUGUGAAAGUGUUAUGUGCAUUGAGAAAGAAUGAUAACUUAAAGAGGAUGUACCAUUUCGAGGGACGUAUCGCGCGCCGCGAUGGAUACUAUAUUUCGAGGGACGUAUCGCGCGCCGCGAUGGAUACUAUAUUUCGAGGGACGUAUCGCACGCUGCGAUGGUUACUGUUAUCGAGGGUCGUGUCGUGCGCCGCGACAGAUGCAUGGACAGAUAUGUCCUCCAUGGGUCCCGGACUGAGAGACAGCGGGUGUGUAUCACUAGGUCAGACAUGCAUCAUUAUACUUGACAUUGCAUUCCAUUACAUUGCACAUACUUAUCAUUAGUGAACUUGAUAUUGUGUUUUGCUGAUCUAGUGAUUGCCUUUUUGCGGAACUUGUGAUUGUUGAAUACUGAGCAUGUUAUUGAGGAUAUAUAAUUUGUUAAAGUGUUGUUGUGGAGGAUAUAUAAUUUGUUAAAGUGUUGUUGUGGAGGAUAUGUAAUUUGUCUAUAUGUUUUUGUUGAGUUACGUUCUAUGUAAACUGUGAGUUGUUAGGUUGGGUUGAUGUUUAUGCAG
rnacentral:lncRNA from 1 species